UACGUAGGGUGCAAGCGUUGUCCGGAAUUAUUGGGCGUAAAGAGCUCGUAGGCGGUUUGUUGCGUCGGCCGUGAAAACCUGGGGCUUAACUCUGGGCGUGCGGUCGAUACGGGCAUCACUGGAGUUCGGCAGGGGAGACUGGAAUUCCUGGUGUAGCGGUGAAAUGCGCAGAUAUCAGGAGGAACACCGGUGGCGAAGGCGGGUCUCUGGGCCGAUACUGACGCUGAGGAGCGAAAGCAUGGGUAGCGAACAGG
rnacentral:rRNA from 1 species